rnacentral:rRNA from 1 species
UACAGAGGGUGCAAGCGUUGUUCGGAAUUAUUGGGCGUAAAGGGCGCGUAGGCGGUGUCGCAAGUCGGUAGUGAAAUCUCCUGGCUCAACUGGGAGCUUGCAGGCGAAACUGCCGUGCUGGAGUGUGGGAGAGGUGCGUGGAACUCCUGGUGUAGCGGUGAAAUGCGUAGAUAUCAGGAGGAACACCGGUGGCGAAGGCGGGACUCUGGGCCGAUACUGACGCUGAGGAGCGAAAGCGUGGGGAGCGAACAGG